CCUACGGGAGGCUGCAGUGGGGAAUAUUGGACAAUGGGGGCAACCCUGAUCCAGCCAUGCCGCGUGUGUGAAGAAGGCCCUCGGGUUGUAAAGCACUUUCAGUGAGGAAGAACGCCUGGUGGUUAAUACCCAUCAGGAAAGACAUCACUCACAGAAGAAGCACCGGCUAACUCCGUGCCAGCAGCCGCGGUAAUACGGAGGGUGCGAGCGUUAAUCGGAAUUACUGGGCGUAAAGCGCGCGUAGGUGGCUUGAUAAGCCGGUUGUGAAAGCCCCGGGCUCAACCUGGGAACGGCAUCCGGAACUGUCAAGCUAGAGUGCAGGAGAGGAAGGUAGAAUUCCCGGUGUAGCGGUGAAAUGCGUAGAGAUCGGGAGGAAUACCAGUGGCGAAGGCGGCCUUCUGGACUGACACUGCCACUGAGGUGCGAAAGCGUGGGUAGCAAACAGGAUUAGAUACCCCUGUAGUC
rnacentral:rRNA from 1 species